AUGAAGUUUUCGGAUGGAUUUAAAACAGCUUAGUGGCGGACGGGUGAGUAACGCGUGGGUAACCUGCCUCACACUGGGGGAUAACAGUUAGAAAUAGCUGCUAAUACCGCAUAAGCGCACGGUAUCGCAUGAUACAGUGUGAAAAACUCCGGUGGUAUAAGAUGGACCCGCGUCUGAUUAGCUUGUUGGUGAGGUAACGGCCCACCAAGGCGACGAUCAGUAGCCGGCCUGAGAGGGUGAACGGCCACACUGGAACUGAGACACGGUCCAGACUCC
rnacentral:rRNA from 1 species